UUGCAGUUAAAAAGCUCGUAGUUGGAUUUCGGAGUGGGCCAGUUGGUCCGCCGCAAGGUGUGUUACUGACUGGUUUGCUCUUCUUCGCAAAGACUGCGUGUGCUCUUCAGUGAGUGUGCGUAGGAUUUACGACGUUUACUUUGAAAAAAUUAGAGUGUUCAAAGCAGGCUAUUGCUUGAAUACAUGAGCAUGGAAUAAUGGAAUAGGACUUUGGCCCCAUUUUGUUGGUUUCUAGGGCCGAAGUAAUGAUUAAGAGGGACAAUUGGGGGCAUCCGUAUUUCGUUGUCAGAGGUGAAAUUCUUGGAUUUACGAAAGACGAACAAUUGCGAAAGCACUUGCCAAGAGUGUUUUCAUUAAUCAAGAACGAAAGUUAGAGGAUCGAAGACGAUCAGAUACCGUCCUAGUUCUAACCAUAAACGAUGUCGACUAGGGAUCAGCGGGCGUUAUCGUACGACCCCGUUGGCACCUUACGGGAAACCAAAGUUUCUGGAUUCCGGGGGAAGUAUGGUUGCAAAGCUGAAACUUAAAAGGAAUUGACGGAAGGGGCACCACCCAAGGAGUG
rnacentral:rRNA from 1 species